rnacentral:rRNA from 1 species
CCUACGGGAGGCAGCAGUGGGGAAUAUUGGGCAAUGGACGCAAGUCUGACCCAGCAACGCCGCGUGAAGGAAGAAGGCUUUCGGGUUGUAAACUUCUUUUAAGGGGGAAGAGCAGAAGAAGGUACCCCUUGAAUAAGCCACGGUUAACUACUUGCCAGCAGCCGCGGGAAUACGUAGGUGGUAAGCGUUGUCCGGAUUUACUGGGGGUAAAGGGCGUGCAGCCGGGAAGACAAGUACGAUGUGAAAUCCCUCGGCUCAACCGCGGAACUGCAUUUGAAACUGUUUUUCUUGAGUAUCGGAGUGGUAAUCGGAAUUCCUAGUGUAGCGGUGAAAUGCGUAGAUAUUAGGAAGAACACCAGUGGCGAAGGCGGAUUACUGGACGACAACUGACGGUGAGGCGCGAAAGCGUGGGGAGCAAACAGGAGUAGAUACCCCAGUAGUC